AAGCAUCAACUGGAUAUUUCCAGAGAUUAAAGGUAAAAACUACAGAUAGUCACUCUGAAUGUUACUCUGUGUCUUCAGAUCCUCCUGAUUACGCCUAUGUUCACGUCAGCAUCGACGAGCAGACGGAGGCUAACAGGAAAACUGGAGGACAGAAAGAUGAUGGUGAGAGUCAGACCAACAGGAGUGACCAGACCUCUGGAACCAGUGAUGGUUAACAUUCACGUCUCCCAGCAGCUCGUCUAUGACUGGUGCUUCUCUAAAGCUGGGACUUAAUCAGACUGUCUAAAUGAACGUCUCCAACACGCUCCUCACUAGAGAUUUCACUUACUUUCAUGUGUCUUCAUCUCUUCUGCAGGAAGUCAUGCACCCAUGAUGUUUCAGCCAGAUCAUUAGGACCACCUAAUGAUAAUUUACUGCUGAUAUAUCUGGUUAUUCUCUUCUAAAAAAAACUUGUUAACGAUUAAAAAACAACCCUAAACCUUUUAUAGUUGCUUUUUAUUUAUGUAGAAUUUUAAAUAAACUUUGUUUUCUGACUUACUUUUGUCUGAUUACCUUUUCUGUUGAUCUUUUGAAGUUUUCCUAUUAUGAUGAUCAUGAGUAACAAUCAGAACUAUGCAGCGACGUGCGGUGAGGUUCAUGCCUGGGGAGGCACUGACUGCUCUGGAGUCGGACUUACAAACACAUCAUCCUGAAAUGGAAGCUUGUAUUUUAUUUUUGAACUUGAAUAAAACAUUCUUUUUG